rnacentral:rRNA from 1 species
GAGUUUGAUCAGUGGCUCAGGACGACGCUGGCGGCGUGCUUAACACAUGCAAGUGGAGCGACGAACCGGGGCUUGCCCCGGGGCAGAGCCGCGAACGGGUGAGUAACACGUGGGUAACCUGCCUCAAUGAUUGGGACAACCCGGGGAAACUCGGGCUAAUACCAAAUGUGUUCACUCCUUCUAAGGGGAGUGAGGAAAGGAAGCUUCGGCCUCCGCAUUGAGAUGGGCCCGCGGCCCAUUAGCUUGUUGGUGAGGUAACGGCUCACCAAGGCUUCGAUGGGUAGCUGGUCUGAGAGGACGAUCAGCCACACUGGGACUGAGACACGGCCCAGACUCCUACGGGAGGCAGCAGUGGGGAAUCUUGCACAAUGCGCGAAAGCGUGAUGCAGCAACGCCGCGUGGGGAAGACGGCCUUCGGGUUGUAAACCCCUUUCAGUUGGGACGAAGCUUCGUCGGUGAAUAGCCGGUUGGAGUGACGGUACCUUCAGAAGAAGCCCCGGCUAACUACGUG